rnacentral:rRNA from 1 species
AACGAACGCUGGCGGCGUGCUUAAUACAUGCAAGUCAAACGUGAAACCUUAGCUUGCUAAGGCGGAAAGUGGCGAACGGGUGAGUAACACGUAAGUAAUCUACCUCUAAGCUCGGAAUAACCUUGCCAACGCGGGGCUAAUACCGGAUGUGAUCAUGAAGAUGCAUGUCUUUGUGAUUAAAGGUGCAAACCACUAAGAGAUGAGCUUGCGGCCCAUUAGUUUGUUGGUGGGGUAAUGGCCUACCAAGACUGUGAUGGGUAGCCGGCCUGAGAGGGUGAGCGGCCACAUUGGGACUGAGAUACGGCCCAGACUCCUACGGGAGGCAGCAGUAGGGAAUUUUGCGCAAUGGGCGAAAGCCUGACGCAGCAACGCCGCGUGAAGGAUGAAGGUUCUCGGAUUGUAAACUUCUGUUAAGUGGGAAGAAAAGCCUUCGGGUCUGACGGUACCACUUGAGUAAGCACCGGCUAACUACGUGCCAGCAGCCGCGGUAAUACGUAGGGUGCGAGCGUUGUUCGGAAUUACUGGGCGUAAAGGGAGUGUAGGCGGAAUCGUAAGUUAGAAGUUUAAUAUGCGGGCUUAACCCGUAGUCUGCUUUUAAUACUGCGGUUCUUGAGUAUGGGAGAGGGUGAUGGAAUUCCAGGUGUAGCGGUGGAAUGCGUAGAUAUCUGGAAGAACACCAGUAGCGAAGGCGGUCGCCUGGCCCAAUACUGACGCUGAUGCUCGAAAGCUAGGGGAGCAAACAGGAUUAGAUACCCUGGUAGUCCUAGCUGUAAACGAUGGACACUAGUUGCUGGAGGAGUCAAUCUUUUCAGUGACGAAGCUAACGCAUUAAGUGUCCCGCCUGGGAAGUACGCCCGCAAGGGUGAAACUCAAAGGAAUUGACGGGGGCCCGCACAAGCGGUGGAGUAUGUGCUUUAAUUCGAUGCAACGCGAAGAACCUUACCUGGAUUUGACAUGGGAGUGAAAGUUUUCAGAGAUGAAUUCCUUUCCGCAAGGAACACUCUACACAGGUGCUGCAUGGUUGUCGUCAGCUCGUGUCGUGAGAUGUUGGGUUAAGUCCCGCAACGAGCGCAACCCUCGCCCUUAGUUGCCAUCAGGUUAUGCUGGGAACUCUAAGGGGACCGCCUAGUUUAACUAGGAGGAAGGUGGGGAUGACGUCAAAUCAUCAUGGCCCUUACGUCCAGGGCUAGACACGUACUACAAUGGUCGGUACAACGGGAUGCAAGACGGUGACGUUUAGCUAAUCCCUUAAAACCGGUCUCAGUCCGGAUUGAAGUCUGCAAUUCGACUUCAUGAAGCUGGAAUCGCUAGUAAUCGCGGAUCAGCAUGCCGCGGUGAAUACGUUCCCGGGCCUUGUACACACCGCCCGUCAAGCCACGAAAGAUGGCAGUACCCGAAGUCGCUUCUCUAACCGCAAGGAAGAGUGCGCCGAAGGUAAGGCUGUUAAUUGGGGCUAAGUCGUAACAAGGUAGCCG